ensembl:lncRNA
UUUACCUCCUCCUUCUGAAGUGUUGUUCAUUGUGUUUUCUUCUUGCUAUUCCAGUUUAUUACAGCUGUAUGAACUCCUCAUGUUGACCGAGUAUGUACAAACAAGCAUGUAGACAUAUAUUAUCCUUCAGCUGAUUUGAAUAACUUCGGCUCACGAAUAAGUAUCUCAGCAGCUCUCGAGUGAUGGUGAUAGUGGAGCUAAAGGUGUC